rnacentral:tRNA from 1 species
GCAGAGAUGGUUCAGUGGUAGAAUUCAUGCCUUCCAUGCAGAAGACCCAGGUUCAAUUCCUGCCAGUGCG